rnacentral:lncRNA from 1 species
AUAUGGCUUCAAACAAGCGAGAAAGGCCCUUUCUAUCUUAUUAGUCAAGCGCGCUAGCUGCAAUCAAAAAACAGCGCUAACGAGCAAGAAAACGGAUGCGCUAAGGCGCAACUUCGCGCAGCUGCUGCGCCCUUGCUUCUUGCUUUCGAGCCGGAGCUUGCUGGGUAGUGAAGUGGUCCGUGAAGGUUAAAUAAGUAGCGCUAAUGAGCAAGAAAACGGAUGCGCUAAGGCGUAACUUCGCACAGCUGCUGCGCCCUUGCUUCUUGCUUUUGAGCCGGAGCUUGCUGGGUAGUGAAGCUGUCCAUGAAGGUUAAAUAAGACUUGUGUUAAGCAA